rnacentral:misc_RNA from 1 species
GGUUUUUGUGUUUCUCGUUCUUUCGCUUGUUGGUUGUCGUCGUGUUGGUAUCGUAAAUAUCGGUAUUUACUCAAUUAACGUAUAUAUUAUUCAAAAUGAGUGAAACUCUUCAACUGAAAGGGACCUUACUUGGUCAUAAUGGUUGGGUUACUCAAAUUGCCACAAAUCCUAAAUAUCCCGAUAUGAUUUUAUCUUCCUCACGAGAUAAAACACUCAUCGUGUGGAAGUUAACACGUGAAGAAACCCAAUAUGGAGUGCCACAAAAGCGUCUGUAUGGUCACUCCCAUUUUAUAUCUGAUGUAGUACUUUCUAGUGAUGGAAACUAUGCUCUCUCUGGUUCAUGGGAUAAAACUCUACGUCUUUGGGAUUUGGCUGCUGGCAAAACUACUAGAAGAUUUGAAGAUCAUACAAAGGUUGGAAGCGAUUGGAUUUAUUUGCAAGAGUGGUAAUUCCUUAAACAGUGUCUGGUCCUUUGAACUAUACAAUAAGUAAAUGCAACUCUUAUCAGAGGUCUGUUUUCGGAAAUACCACGUGCAUUUAGUGGAUAAAAAUAAUAUUUCCCCCAUUAUGACAGCUAGAAGAUUUUUUUUGUAUAAUUGAAAAACUGAGGUUCGGAACUUCGUCUGAAAUUUUACUACAUUCAAAAUGAGACGUAUUGAGUGUUGCAUUCUCCGUAGAUAAUCGUCAGAUAGUUUCUGGCUCUCGAGA